CGUCGCCACGGUAAUACGUAGGGUGCGAGCGUUAAUCGGAAUUACUGGGCGUAAAGCGUGCGCAGGCGGUUGUGUAAGACAGGUGUGAAAUCCCCGGGCUUAACCUGGGAACUGCGCUUGUGACUGCACAGCUAGAGUAUGGCAGAGGGGGGUGGAAUUCCACGUGUAGCAGUGAAAUGCGUAGAGAUGUGGAGGAACACCGAUGGCGAAGGCGGCCCCCUGGCCAAUACUGACGCUCAUGCACGAAAGCGUGGGGAGCAAACAGGAUUAGAUACCCCCGUAGUCCCUGUCUCUUAUACAC
rnacentral:rRNA from 1 species